rnacentral:rRNA from 1 species
AUUGAACGCUGGCGGCGGGCUUAACACAUGCAAGUCGAGCGGGGGCUUCGGUCCUAGCGGCGAACGGGUGAGGAAUGCCUGGGAAUCUGUCUGGUAGUGGGGGAUAACGAUUCGAAAGGGUCGCUAAUACCGCAUACGUCCUACGGGAGAAAGCAGGGGACCUUCGGGCCUUGCGCUAUCAGAUGAGCCCAGGUCGGAUUAGCUAGUAGGUGAGGUAAAGGCUCACCUAGGCGACGAUCCGUAGCUGGUCUGAGAGGAUGAUCAGCCACACUGGAACUGAGACACGGUCCAGACUCCUACGGGAGGCAGCAGUGGGGAAUAUUGGACAAUGGGCGAAAGCCUGAUCCAGCCAUGCCGCGUGUGUGAAGAAGGCCUCGGUUGUAAGACGACUUAAGUACGGGAGGAAGGGACG